UGUAUGCCUCCCUUAUAGGAGGGUGUUGUCAGAACUGUGGGGUUUGAUCUUUUUGGAUGGAGAAGGUCUCUCUCCAAGUCAGAGGUCGGCACCAGCUUCUCCCUUGAAACAAGCUUCCUACUGUUCCACCCUACAGAAAAACACAAGAGGGACCAGUAACUGAAGACAUACAUCAGCCCAUGACUGCAUGUGCAAGUGUCUCUACUGCAUGCAGCUCCUUCUGCUCUUCUCCUUGCUUUGCAGAGCAAGGGGGCACUUGGUAAAAAACAGACUGGCAGCAUACAUGGUACUGUAGGCUGUUUGGUUAUGAAUGGCUCUGUCAAGCUAGUAAGAGACAGGAAGAGCUCAGUGGCAAUGGUGGAUUGAAGGAUGCACUGGGAGAAGAGAAGCUUCAAGAGGAUAGUCCAGUUAACAAGAAAAGCGUAGAGAAGUUGACAUAAAUAUGACUGACAGUUAUUUCCCUGGAACUCUUCUUGAAAUUGAAAAUGCAACUGAGGGGCACUGCUGCCAGCUGUUACCUUGCUUGCCCUCCACACUGGACCUUGAGCAAGAUUGUUGGUGUGGGGUUUCCUUUUGGUGGGGUUUGCCACCUGCAGUCAGGAUGUUGCCAAGGAUCUGACGCCCUCUUCUUCCUUAUCUUUCAAGAGAUUAAUUGGGGUUAUUCGUGCAGCCUGUUGAAACUGUCAGGAACAUGACGUGCUGAAAUGUGGGACCAGACAUGAACUUGGGUCAUCAGUCCAGCAGGCAUCAUAUUAUUAAACACUGAAAUAGAACGUACCAAAAAAUAGGGAAAAACUAGGAGAUGUAAGGAGA